CCUACGGGAGGCAGCAGUGGGGAAUAUUGCGCAAUGGGCGAAAGCCUGACGCAGCGACGCCGCGUGAGGGAUGAAGGUCUUCGGAUCGUAAACCUCUGUCAGCAGGGAAGAACGGUCACUGUGCUAAUCAGCAGUGAAUUGACGGUACCUGCAAAGGAAGCACCGGCUAACUCCGUGCCAGCAGCCGCGGUAAUACGGAGGGUGCGAGCGUUAAUCGGAAUUACUGGGCGUAAAGCGCUCGUAGGCGGUAUGUUAAGUCAAGGGUGAAAUCCCCGCGCUCAACGUGGGAACUGCCUUUGAAACUGGCAAACUGGAGUGUGUGAGAGGAUAGUGGAAUGCCAGGUGUAGGAGUGAAAUGCGUAGAUAUCUGGAAGAACACCAGUGGCGAAGGCGACUAUCUGGCACAUAACUGACGCUGAGGAGCGAAAGCGUGGGUAGCAAACAGGAUUAGAUACCCUUGUAGUC
rnacentral:rRNA from 1 species